rnacentral:lncRNA from 1 species
GUGCCGGGCGACACCCGGGCCGUGCCGCCAGCGUCCGUCGGGAGAGUGAAGGCUCGCAACGCCUUGCCCGGGGGAAGGUAACGCGCCGCGCCCGGGGCUGCGCGGUUUGCACCGCCAGGCCGAGGGCUGGGGGCCAGAAGACAAGAGAGACGGCGAGGCGCGCUCCCUGCCCGGCAGCGACUCGGAGGUGCAGAGAGAGAAUAAACUGUGUCUAAGACUGGACCAGAGAGUGAGUGUGCUGGAAGCCACCAUAGGAACAAGCGACCUGUUUGGCAAGGAAUACAGCAUCCUUCUGAGAGCCUCUUCUCGACACUAUCCCACAGACCAGGACUUCCUCAUGGGAAAGAGCACUUAGGAUCUUGCUAUCAGCUGCCCUAAACUUUUGCUGAGCCAAAAUAAGACUUUGAUGCAGAACUGAACAAGAUAUUUCAUUUUUGUGUGUUUUAAUCUUCCUGGUUGCAGUCUUAGUUGUUCAGCCCUGAGAAUUUUGAGCCACA